AUACAGAGAAACCCUGUCUCGAAAAAAAAGAAAAGGAAAAAUGAAAAAAUCUCCAGCAAUCUUAAGAGAAACCUAACACACAUAGUUUUUAACCUGACAUGCAAGUGUACUUUCAAGCAAAAUAUAAACUCAUACCUAUACAAUACAAUGAAAAAUUUUAUGUUAAGAUGUUUCGCUACCUCUUUCCCUCUCUUCCCUUUUCUCUCCGCCUCCCAUAACCUGACAUUUCAGAACCUAAUAUUUCAAUGAGUCACUAUCCAUGUGAAAAGCAGAGCUUGAGCUAGAAGAACUUAACCCUGUCUCCAAUAGGACCCAUCCCAGAAGCAUUAAUGUCCCCACUGCUAAACUUCCGGUGGUGCAUUCUUCUCGAUUUCCACCCAGCAUUCCUUUUGUCCUCCCUCCCAGGCUCAAUUUACCUAUUUUGACUUCUGUGACCUCCUUGUCGUCCCUGGACCUUGCCCUGGGUGGCUCUGGCUCCUCCCCCAUCUUAUUUGUGGAAAGUUCUGGGCUUGUUCCCAGGAGGAGGGAAGUUCUAGCCCAAAUGGAAGCUACAAACUAGCUGUGUAGUCAAGCUGGAGACUUGUAUCAUGAAUCAGAGUCCACCAUCACUCAAAGAAGAGGACACAUCUGUGUUUGCCUAGAUUUGGGAAGCACUCAGACUCUGUUAGCACUUGACACUGCUUUGAGUUCUGAGUCAGGUCUCAGGAAGUUUCUGUAAGAGGUUGUAGGGUCUUCUAGCCUCAAUAUCACGGCCACACGAGGGCGCUGCUGCUCUGACCUCUCAGAUUGUGUCUGAUUGGGAAUCAGUUGGAAGUGGCCUACUGAAACCUGGAUGGACAAGGGUGGUUAGGAAUGAGAUGUUUCUGACCACCCAGAUCUACGCAGUAGGUGGAAGAAAGUUAGAGCUGUUAGAAGGAAUCCUGUAGUAUCUCUGAGUAUUCCCCUCUCCAUCUGUUUGCUGUCAACACUGGAAAAUGGAACAGAUUGCUUUGUUGUUCCAGUUUCUGUUGGUUAGUUGUGGGGUAGAGACAGUGUAUAUAUGCACACAGAGCAGGGGAUUCAACCCAGGGAAUAUAUUAAUUAGGCAAUCUAUUACUGAGCCACACUCCCUGUCCCUGAAAACUAUUUUCUAAUCAUGACCUUUUAAAUUUUAGAAUGUAAGGGACUGGAGAGAUGGCUUAGUGUUUAAGAGCACGUACCGCUCUUGCAGAGGGCCUGAAUUUAGUUCUCAGCACCCACAUCAGAUGGAUCACAAGUCUGCAACUUCAGCUUCUCUGUAACACACACAUAAAUAAAUCUUAAAAUAAAAUUUAGGAUGCUUUUAUUUUCCCCAGAGAAACUGCAAAGGUAAUAUAUAGAGUCACCAGUUUCUCUGUUUAAAACAUCCUACAGGGCUGGAGAGACAGCUCCAUGGUCAAGAGCAUAUUGUCUGCUCAUACAGAGGACCCAGUUCCAAUUCCAACACUCACAUGGUAGCUCACAGUCCUCUUAUGACUUCCAAGGGCACUGCAUAUGUGCUUCUCAUGACCUCAUGCAAGCAUACAUAUACAUGCAUAAAACUAAAUCUCACAUCACCAUACAUUUUAUAACCCAUGAAACUAUAUGGACACACUUAUUUAUACAUAUUUUAUUUACACUCUUCAGUUGUUACUAAUGUCCUUUUUUUUUCCUAGGACGUUAUCCAAGGCACCACACACUCGGUCUCAGUUGAUCCUUAGGGCUCCUCUGUGACAAUUUCUCUGAUUUUCCUAGAUUUUGAUAACCCUGAAACUUUUGAGGAGGACUAGCCCCACAUACUGAUGAAUGUUAUUUGACUUAAGUUUGACUGGGACCAUGCAUUUAAGAAGUCCAGAGAGGCAAAAUGAUGCCUGCACCGUGUCAAGGUUGUGCACCAUGCUCUUGAUUUGUCCUGGGGGAAAACCUAUGCAUCACAAGAAGUGACCUGUUGGGGGAAAGUUUAUUUUGGCUCUCAGUCAAAAGGAACUCACUUUCUGGUAUAAAGCGAAAGGCCCUGAAAAGCAUAGUGGGCUGGGCUGCUUCAUCUUUAAAUAUGGAGUGGAAGUAUGAAUGCAAACGAGGACAUGGCUGCUGCUAGGAAUGGUUGAAGAGAAGGUUUUCGGGGAUUUUUUACUGUAGAUGUGAGGGAGAGUUCUGCCAGAUGCAUCUGGAAAGAUCCUCCCAAGGCACAUGUGACCCAUCACCCCAGACCUGAAGGUGAAGUCACCCUGAGGUGCUGGGCCCUGGGCUUCUACCCUGCUAACAUCAUCCUGACCUGGCAGUGGGAUGAGGAAGACCUGACUCAGGACAUGGACCUCAUUGAGACCAGACCUGCAGGGGAUGGGACCUUCCAGAAGUGGGCAUCUGUGGUGGUACCUUCUGGAGAGGAACAGAGAUACACAUGUCAUGUGCAACAUGAGGGGCUAACCCAGCCCCUUGUUCUAAAAUGGGACCCUUCUAAGCACACCAUUCCCAUCAUGGGAAUCACUGUUGGCCUGCUUCUCUUUGGAGUUGUGUUUACUGGAGCUGUGGUUGCCAUAGUGAUGAGGAAGAGGAAAGGGUCUCACACUGUACCCUAGACUGGGCUGGAACUCACUGUGUAGCUGUGAAUGCUAAUCUUCAUUGUCAGAUUGACUGGAUCUCAAAUCUCACAGGAAAUGUCUGUGAAGGUGUUUUCCAGAGACUAACCAAAGGAGGGGAGAGCUGCACUGUGGGGGGAGCUGCACUGAAUGAUUUGGGGGCCCAGAUUGAAGACAUGGGAGGGAGAGGAGGAAGCCAGAUGAGGGGCAGCAUCCCCACACUCUGCCCCACACUUUGGAACUGGAAUUGCUUGUGAGCCACAGCCUGGGUGGUGAGAAUCAAACCAAGAUGCUCUUAACCUGGGCCAACUUUCUAGCCCCUGCAUUUACAUUUCUAUAAGCCCGCUUCAAAAGCAUCAUGAAAUGCUACUGUAACCUCCUCAAUAUCUGCAUCUAUUCUGUGACCCUCAUCUAUACAUAUAUUUACAGUGUGAUAUGUCAUAUUUGAGAGAAUAUUAGUAAUUAAGAUUGGAAUAAAUGGAUAUGGGUUUGCUUCAAUUAGAUUACCAAGGAAAGCAAUAUUACCUGCCAAAUUCUCACCAUGGAAACUGAAUUCACUUAUUGAAUUUAUUGUAAUUCAAUUGUGACAUUUUGGAAACAUACAAGCUUGAUCAUUUUUCUUUCUGUUUGUGCUGUUUGGUUUGGUUUUUUGAAACACUGUUUCUCGGUGUAGCCCUGGCUGUCGUGGAACUCACUCAGUAGGUCAGGCUGGCAUGUACCACUAUUGCCCAGCCUCAUCUAUGUUUCUUUGGUUGAGAAAGAGUAUCAUGUAACCCAGGCUGGCCUCAAACUCAUGGCAAACCUCCUUUCUUAGCCUAACCUCCCACAUGCUUGUUCUUCAGUGAUGAGCUAAAUUUUAAGUAUAUUUUUAAAAUAUUACAUUAAUUCUGAAAAAAUUUUUAUGUGGAUGUGGGGAGAAGAUCAAGUUGUGUGAUUCUGAUCGAAGGUUCCGUCAGGAAAACAGUUUUAAUGUGCAUUCCAUAGACCCAGACAAACUCUUUCUCAUAAAGAAAUCAAACAGUACAACAGAGUUUUUAAUACGGUUUUUUGCUUCUUUGUUUCCCAUUUGUGGUAACUUAUACUUUUAUUGGUUUCCUUAAAACUAAAAGUAGGCCAUCACUGGGGAAGAGAGGCCCCUUGGUAUUGCAAACUUUAUAUGCCCCAGUACAGUGGAAUGCCAGGGCCAGAAGCAGGAGUGGGUAGGUAGGGGGGCAGGGCAGGGGGAGGGUAUAGUGAACUUUCGGGAUAGCAUUUGAAAUGUAUAUAAAGAAAAUACCUAAUAAAAAAUUUUUUUAAAG